AACGCAUAUUGCGCUCGAGGCCUCGGCCAAGAGCAUGUCUGCCUCAGCGUCGGGUUAAUACUCGCUCCAACAACCCAUGUGGUUACACGAGCGGACCUGGCAGUCCCACUCCGUCAGGGGUGGGUCUGCUGAAGCUCAGAGGUUGAUGUAUGGACCCUACAAGGGCCGCAACUGGGUAGGCAUUUAUGCUAAUUUCUAGUUGUUGGCUUGGAAAAUGCAUCCAACCCUCAAACAGGAAACCCUUUUUUUCUCGACUGAGCUCAGGCAAGAUUACCCGCUGAACUUAA
rnacentral:misc_RNA from 1 species